GAGAAUUUAAACUGUUACAAUAUAUGGUCCCAUGGGGACGUCUGAGUCCUAACAUAUCAUAUGUAAUUGCAAGGAGCUUCAUAAUCUGUUGUUGGUGAUGCCCUCUGUUGGCCUUAAUAUUCCAAUACCCUGUGCAUAUAUCAUCUUGGUUUUUGUACACAUCAUGACAAGACAAUUAAACACAAUAUCUUGGGUCCAGGUUCACCUGAAUUAUGAGAAGAUACUCAUUCAAAUUAAGAUUUUCUAGAUGGAAUUUUCCAUCAUUGAUCAUCAUCACUACCAUGAAAUGGGAACGAACGGUAAGACAACUAAUGGAAGCCACUACAAAUGGUGAAUGUUGUAGUUUCAUUGCAUAAUGGUCACAAAUCCAUUACGCAACUCGCGCUCAUAAAAAUGGCUUCACAGCUCACAAGACGCAAAUACAACAAAUAGACACAAACUAGAGACCUCUGUUACAUAGUUUACAUCUCCUACAAAUACAAAACAAUCCCUCUGACUUAAAACAGCAAUCUCAGGCCAUUAAUAGGGUCAAAAUCUAUUUUUCACAGUUGUUUCACCUGUUUCUAUUUUUUUAACAGUUUCAUUUUUCAAAGGUAACAAUUAGUAAGAGCCAUGAAUCUGCGUAGUCAUCAGAAGAGUCGAAGUUCGCAGGGUUUUGCCAGCAAGAUUGCCACACAUUGAGCAAUGCAAAAUGGUAAGACUUGAAAAUUAUCAUAUCCUGGGAUUCAUUGUUGAACCUUGUAAAAGUGGUCAUGACUUUUGACUCCCAAGGAGAUCACCUCAUUACUGACUCUUUUACAAAGGACCGACCACCAGAAGUGUAUUCAAGGUGAAUAUUCAUGAAUCUACGGUUUUCUUUGCUUUGUGAUAGUGUCACUAAACCUUCAAUCAGUUGAUCUUGCUCCACUUCUACUGGAUCAUAGAAGUAUAUCACUGUCUGCUGCCA
rnacentral:misc_RNA from 1 species